AGGUCGGAUUCUGGAGAAGCGAUCAAAAGAGUCGUUGAAAGAAUAAGAUCAACAAAGCCGUCGCGCUUUCUUAUAUCUAAUAUAACAAUCCGUUCGAGCAAUUUUUGCUACCAUAAGAUUUUCCUGAAAGAUGUGUACACGCUCGAUCGUUUUACCUUGAUUUUUCUUUCUGUUUAUAUCUUUCAGCCAUCGAUCGUUAGAAUGCAGAAGGUUAUACUUCUUACCAAUAUUGAGAUUCGAUGCUUGGCCACACGAGAGAAGCGGAUUAGGUGUUCAAACAGGACAAGCGAAUGAGCUGCAGUUGAUUUACAAAUCCCCCGAAGACAGAGUGGCCAGGUAAAGAUGGACCUGAAAUGUAGUGAGCUAGACUGUAGCAAGGGUGACUUGAGAAAACUGAGCACUCGGUAAUGGCAUCUUGGAUUGUCAUUCUGAUGAUGAAAGUUUGCAGAGGUAAUUGGAAUAUCAUUCCCUAUACAGGAAUGUACCUUCCAUAUGACCUGUACAGUCAUUUACUAUACAGUGGCAUCAGUAGUCACAAAAAAUUAAUGACUUCCUGCAAGCAUGCAUGCAUAGGAAAAGAUAUGGCAGAAAUUGACCCUACUUUUGCUGGGAUGCAUAGGGUUUGAUGAUUGUAAAGUAUAUCUUUCAGCUUUUAAGCUUUCAACUUUGUAUUCAUGGUAACUGUUUACCAUAUUUAUUUCUUUUUAACUUAAGCCCUCAAAAGUUGUGGCAGGCAAGUUUAUAACCUGGUUUCCUUUGUUUGGAAUUGUGUGAUUGUAUCAUUUUGCUGUGAUUACCACAUUGUAACAUGUAAUGUUAUUUGGAUGACAUUAAAUACUCUAAAUCAA